rnacentral:rRNA from 1 species
CAGUAGCCGCGGUAAUACAGAGGGUGCAAGCGUUAAUCGGAAUUACUGGGCGUAAAGCGCGCGUAGGUGGUUCGCCAAGUUGGAUGUGAAAUCCCCGGGCUCAACCUGGGAACUGCAUCCAAAACUGGCGAGCUAGAGUAUGGUAGAGGGUGGUGGAAUUUCCUGUGUAGCGGUGAAAUGCGUAGAUAUAGGAAGGAACAUCAGUGGCGAAGGCGACCACCUGGACUGAUACUGACACUGAGGUGCGAAAGCGUGGGGAGCAAACAGGAUUAGAUACCCGAGUAGUCCCUGUCUCUUAUCA